AGAUGGGAGGGUGAUGUGACUUUGACAUCUGUCACCUCAUUGACUGCCAGGAUUGAUUCUGCUCUUCUGGCUGGCUGGGGAGUGUCCUCAUCCUCCCUUACCACUUAGUGUGUCUCUCUCCUAAAGCUGUGCGCUUGGUCAAAGAGGACAAUCUUCCCCAAUAGAGAAGAAACUUCUCCAGUCAAGGGUAUGCAAGCAGCUAUGCUCUCCUGCUGAAACCUCCAAACAAUCUUUCAAGGUCCAUCUGUCGGAGAAUGUAGAGUGUCAUGCUUCCAGGACAUUAGAGGAUGUGAAAGUCUGCCUU
rnacentral:snRNA from 1 species